rnacentral:rRNA from 1 species
UGUGUUUCAAGUGACUGCGUACCUUUUGUAUAAUGGGUCAGCGACUUAUAUUCUGUAGCAAGGUUAACCGUAUAGGGGAGCCGGAGGGAAACCGAGUCUUAAACGGGCGUUAAGUUGGAGGGCAUAGACCAGAAACCCGGUGAUCUAGCCAUGGGCAGGUUGAAGGUUGGGUAACACUAACUGGAGGACCGAACCGACUAAUGUUGAAAAA